UUUAUGAAGAAUCACCUUUUAAUGGCUUCUCUCGAAAUGGAGUCCUUUGCCUCAUGUAAGUAGAACACGAUGAAAGAGUUGUAAAAGAAGCUCCAACUCAGGAAUGUCACAUCACAAGUUCAGUUACGAGAACCCCACGAUAUUUUAAAUAAUGCAAAAUGCUGUGUCAAAGCUGCAGAAAGAUGAGGGACUGCUCUUAACACAACUAUACCAUAGCCCACUCAUCAGGCAGAGACAAUGAAGUUCAAUUCACACAGAAGGCUCUCCAGCAUGCAACUGCACUAUAGGGAACUCAGCACACCCCUGUGUGCAUAAUAUAAACAAACACAUUUGAGAAUAGACCCAGGUGAGACAUAUACCCGGUAUAAAAGGAGAGAGCAUGGAAGAAAGGAUUACUCGGGCUGCAACUGCCAAGCUAAUGAAAAAAGCUUUUCUUGAAGCUCUAAAAUCAAAUGACUACAAAACGCUGGAAGAUCUUUUGAUACAAAAGCAAAUAGAUGUGGACACGGUGUUUGAAGUGGAAGAUGAGAACCUGAUUUUGGCAUCAUACAAACAAGGAUAUUGGCUGCCUAGUUAUAAGUUAAAAUCAUCUUGGGCCACUGGACUGCAUAUAUCAGCCCUGUAUGGAUAUCUGGAGAGCCUCAUGGUACUGCUAGAUCACAAAGCGGCCGUCAACUACAAGCCAAAUGGGAAAGCUGCUAUCCACGUGGCCUGUGAUGUGGCAAACGUUGAGUGCCUCACAAUCCUUUGCAACCACGGAGCUAAUGUUAACUGCUUUUCACUGAGUGGCCAUGCACCCUUACACUUCUGUACCACAAAGGCCUCUGUGCCUUGUGCCCAGCAGCUCAUUUGGAGAGGAGCAAAUGUGAACAUCACAACAAACAAUCAGGAUGAAGAGACUCCCCUGCACACAGCUGCACGUUUUGGCAUCCCUGAACUGGUGGCAUUUUACAUGGACCAAGGAGCAAAUGUUGAUGCUGUCAAUGCCCACAUGGAAACUCCACUGGCCAGUGCAGCUUACUGGGCCCUUCGCUUUAAAGAGCAGGUGUACAGCCUGGAACACCACCUAAUCUGUAGGAUGCUGCUAGACUAUAAAGCUGAAGUUAAUUCUCGUGAUGAAGAUUUCAAAUCACCCCUCCACAAGGCUGCCUGGAACUGUGACCAUGUGCUGAUGCACGUACUGCUUGAGGCUGGGGCUGAAGCAAACCUGAUGGACAUCAAUGGCUGUGCCCCCAUACAAUAUGUUCUGAAAGUGACAUCUGUGCGGCCAGCUGCCCAGCCUGAAAUUUGCUACCAACUUUUACUGAAUCAUGGAGCAGCUAGAAUAUAUCCUCCACAGUUCCACAAGGUGUUGCAGGCCUGUCAUUCCCACCCUAAAGCCAUUGAGGUUGUCAUUAACUCAUACGAACACAUCAAGUCAACAUCAAGGUGGAGAGGAGCUAUACCCGAUGACGUCUUUGAGAGGCACAGAGAUUUCUACGACUCUCUGUUCACCGUGUGCAGUAAUUCACCACGGUCGCUCCUGCAUUUAUCUAGAUGUGCUAUUAGACGAAUAUUGUUCAAAAGAUGCCACAAAGGAGUCCCUUCACUUUCCAUUCCUCCUCCAUUGAAGAAGUACUUGCUUUUAGAACCAGAAGGAAUAAUUUAUUAAGCCUUAGCAGAGCAGACUGAUAGUCCCUGCAAUCUCUGGCUCUGCACACAUGUGGAGGGAAUUAUCAUCAGGGAGUUUUCACUAGGAAAAGUUGAAGUUCUUGGCAAAAUUCUUAUGCAAAGAAGGAUCUGGUUUCAUAAAUACCAAUGCCGGACUGCUCUCUCCAUUAUAUAUACUGAUCCUUUGUUCAAUCUAGUUUUAAAUUAACUGAACCAAGUGCGACUUCCACCGCUUCACUUAGGUAAUGAUUCCACUGUCUAUUAGGUAUCACUGUGGCGAAUGUUUUCCAGAUAUCCAACACAAACUGCCCUGGAUAUUGUUUCAGUUUAGUUUUCUUCAACCAUCAUCUCAGGAAGAACAAAACAGGAUAGUGUCAGAAAAAUAAUCUCUCAUCAGAGUCAGCUACAUCUUUCCCCAGAAACAAAAAGCUCAAAGGGCUUUGAAUGAGGCCCAUCGACUGAGUUACGACAUGGCCGGGAAUGGCGAACCGCAGCCACUGGGAGCUGUGAGCAGCUGUGCCUGCAGACGCUCAGGCAAACAAAGCAUCUCGCGGCCCGCCACCCUGAAAAAGCUGCGAACCAAGUUUGGGAACCCCUGCAUUAAGGCCUAGUCUACGCUAGCACUCUAAGUCGCCUUUCCUGGGCAGGUAGCUUUGUCUGAGUGUCCCGUCUGAACACAUGAAAUGAAGAUAUGCCCCUCUGAAGGACUAAGCUGUUCAUGAAAAAUCUACUGUCUCCUCACAAUAGAUGCUGCC